rnacentral:rRNA from 1 species
GCGCAGCAGGCGCGAAACUUCACAAUGUGCGAAAGCACGAUGAGGGAAUCCCAAGUGCUUGCACGUAAGUGUAAGCUGUUUCUCUGUCUAAAACGUAGAGAGAGUAAGGGCUGGGUAAGACGGGUGCCAGCCGCCGCGGUAAUACCUGCAGCUCGAGUGGUGACCGUUAUUAUUGGGCCUAAAACGUCCGUAGCCGGUUUAAUAAAUGCCUGGGUAAAUCGGACCGCUUAACGGUUCGAAUUCCGGGUAGACUGUUAAACCUUGAGACCGGGAGAAGUUAGAGGUACUCCUGGGGUAGAGGUGAAAUUCUGUAAUCCUAGGGGGACCACCAGUGGCGAAGGCGUCUAACUAGAACGGGUCUGACGGUGAGGGACGAAGCCCUGGGGCGCAAACGGGAUUAGAUACCCGUGUAGU